rnacentral:rRNA from 1 species
UACGUAGGGGGCAAGCGUUGUUCGGAAUUAUUGGGCGUAAAGGGCGCGUAGGCGGUGCGGUAAGUCACCUGUGAAAUCUCCUGGCUCAACUGGGAGCUUGCAGGCGAAACUGCCGUGCUGGAGUGUGGGAGAGGUGAGUGGAAUUCCCGGUGUAGCGGUGAAAUGCGUAAAUAUCGGGAGGAACACCUGUGGCGAAAGCGGCUCACUGGACCACAACUGACGCUGAGGCGCGAAAGCUAGGGGAGCAAACAGG